AGGCGGAAGCGCGGCAGUUGGGGCGGGAGGCUGCCGGGCGGUGCGGGCGGCGGUGUGAGGCUGCCUGGCGGUACCGACGGUUCUUUCCGCUCCGUGCCGCGCCAGGAUUGCAGUCGCGCCCGCCGGGCGGAGCGGGGCGAUGGUGUCCAGGGCUGCCGACAGGCUGCUGAUCGUCGUCUCCAUUCUGGAAGGACGCUGUUUUCCAAAACGACCCAAGUACAUGCUUAUAGUUGAAGCCAAGUUUGAUGGAGAACAGCUAGCUACUGAUCCUGUGGAGCAUACUGAUCAGCCAGAAUUUGCCACUGAGCUGGCCUGGGAGCUUGAUCGAAAAGCACUUCAUCAGCACAGGCUACAGCGUACACCUAUCAAGCUCCAGUGUUUUGCAUUGGAUCCCCUGUCUUCGGUUAAAGAGAAUGUAGGCUAUGUCGUGCUUGAUUUAAGGGCUGUGCAGGAAAAGAAACAGACACCAAAAUGGUACUCUUUGCUAAGUAACAAGUAUGCUAAAUUUAAAUCCGAAAUAAAAGUAGGCAUUGUGUUGGAAACUGAUUCCAAAGCACCGGUUGAUGAUUUAAAAGCAAAAGAGGCACCCCCUAGGGAAGGGAGGGCGUCUGCCCUUCUUUCUAGACUAGAUCCUAAAAGUAUUGUGCCAGUCCUGAACGAAGAAGAGGGCUAUCAUCAAAUUGGACCAGCAGAGUAUUGUAGAGACUACUUUGUUUUGUCUGUAACUAUUGCAUUUGCCACACAGUUGGAACAGUUAGUUCCUAGUACUAUGAAGCUUCCUGAACAUCAGCCUGAGUUUUUCUUCUACUACUCAUUAUUGGGAAAUGAUGUAACAAAUGAACCUUUCACUGAUUUGAUUAAUCCAAACUUUGAACCAGAAAGAGCUUCUGUUCGAAUACGUAGUUCAGCUGAUGUCCUUCAAGUUUAUCUUUGUGCACAGUCAAAAUUGCAGAUUCAUCUUUGCUGUGGUGACCAGUCCCUUGGAAGCACUGCAAUACCCCUGUCUGGACUACUGAAGAAGGGAAGCGUGGAGAUUGAUCAGCGCCCUGUGGCAAUAGAAGGAGCAUUUGUCCUUGUUCCACCAAAUAGAGCUAAGCAAAACCUGCCACAGUUACCUCUGGAUAUGGCUCCUACUGUUGGGGUAUCUGUAAUUCUGCAAAAGGAGUGCUUAAAUGUUCAGCCUUUGAUUCCUUCAAAUGUUCCAACUGAACCUAAACAACCAAAGAAGAAAGUUCUUUCACCUACUGGUGGAGAAGCAAAGGGCCUGCAGCAGAGAUCCCAGGAUGUCCCAUCUCAAAUUGACCACUCUUCUCCAAUAGAAGAUGAAGCAACAGAAAGUGAAGCAGAAAGUCUGAAGUCUGAAAAAGGCACAGAGCUAAAGGAAGCUGGGCUAGUGGAUGAGUCUUGCAGAGAUGUUAGCGAGCAGUACACUGAAGAGCUCCCAGUUUUCAAAUCACAGAACAGUACAAAAUCACUGCUGUUGUCAGCAGAUGAUGCUCCAGCAGUUGCACCUCAGCCCAACUCUGUGGGUGCAUCUGGUUGUUCUGAGACUGCAUCAGCACAGAAAGUUCUCAUUCCAGCGGCCUCUCACCAUUUUUGCUUUUCAAUAGACUUACGAAGUGUACGUGGUCUGGAAGUUGGUUUUCCAAUCAACUGCGUUUUAAGGUACUCCUACCCCUUUUUUGGCAGUGCAGCACCUAUUAUGACAAGCCCUCCUAUAGAAAUCAGAAAGAACAUGGAAGUUUUUCUUCCCCAGUCCUACUGUGUAUUUCACUUUGCAACUACACCUCAUCAGCUUCAAGACACGUUUUUCAGGCUACCUCUGCUGGUUGAAUUGUGGCACAAGGACAAAACAACCAAAGACUUGCUUCUAGGGAUUGCAAGACUUCAGCUUUCAAAUGUCUUGACUUCAGAAAAAACACGCUUUUUGGGUGGUAAUGGUGAACAGUGCUGGCGUCAGGCUUACAGUGAAACAGUCAGCGUCACAGCAGCACAAGGGUCAGACACCAGAAUUGCAGAGCUUUUGUAUGCCAUCACUUUGGAAGACUACGGACUUGUGAAAAUCCACGAAGUUCUGGUGUCAGAUUCUUCUCAGUGUGUAGGUGCUGGUCAGCAGCGGCAUGCCACUCACACUCAGCUUCAUUGUGCUUCAGAAAAACAGACAGAACCUCGAGAAACUCUUGAGUACAAAGCGGCACUGGAAUUAGAAUUAUGGAAGGAAAUGCAAGAAGACAUUUUUGAAAAUCAGCUUAAAAAGAAGGAAAUGGCCCGUAUGCAAGCACUUGCAGAGGAAUGGAAGAAAAGAGAUGAAGAGAGAGAAGCACUAGUGAAGAAGAAGGUGGCAGAAUAUACUGCUCUGGAAGAACAGCUUCAGAAAACCCUGAGAGAUCUAGAUAAACGAGAACGGCAGCUUUUGACUGCUGAAUCAGAGAUUCAAAGAGUAAAGAAGGAGUUGCAAGCAGAGCAUGAACAAAAUAAGCAGGAGUUACAGGAUUCUGUGCGGCGAACCAGAGAAGAAUGUGCCCACCAGGUUGAACUAGAAAGAUCAAAAAUCAAGCAGCUGGGAGAAGACAGGCUCCGUAUACAGCAGCAGCUUUAUGAAGCAGAAAAUAAGUACAAAAUUCUGGAGAAGGAGUUCCAGCAAUACAAGGAACAGCAAAGCAGUAAGCCAGAAAUACAGCUACAAUCAGAAAUAAAUCUUCUCACUUUAGAAAAGGCUGAACUUGAAAGAAAGUUGGAGUCAGCUACCAAGUCAAAGCUCCACUACAAACAACAGUGGGCCAGGGCUUUGAAAGAACUUGCGAGGUUAAAACAGCGUGAACAGGAAAGUGCAAUGGCUCGCCUUAAAAAGCAGCAGCAAGAGCUGGAGCACAUGAGGCUGUGCUAUUUGGCAGCAGAAGAAAAAGAGCUGGGGAAAACAGACCGACAAGAGCUGGAGGAUAUCAGAAAUGAACUUAACAGGCUAAAGCAACAAGAAGAGGAGAGAAAGCAGUUUCAAGAUGUUAGAGAUAAUUCUGCAUGUAAAGUGGAUAGCCUUCAUACUAGAAAAUCAAAUGAGAACAUAGAUGAUUAUGUCUCACGUCUGAUGGAGGAGAGGGAUACCUUGUUGAGAACAGGAGUGUAUAAUCACGAAGACCAUAUUGUUAUAUGGCAGUCUUUGGUGCUUGGAACCACGAAACUGAUCAGUUGACUUUCGAAGUUAAUUUCAUUUUUUUCAAUGUCUGAUAGUCUCUUCCAUGAUUUGUACAGGAAGCAGCAGUCACGAUGUGGUAAGAUUGGAAAGAAGUUUUCCUUAUGGCAAAUCAAAGUAUUUAGUAAAAUCGACAGUAUAUCAAUCUCUCCCUCUCUCUCUCUCUCUCUCUCUCUCUCUCUCUCUCUCUCUCUCUUUUUUUUUAACAGGGAAAAAAAUGCCUCAACCUGCUAUUUUAUGCUGUUUGGGUCCACUUUUUCUUCUGGAAGUUCAGUGCUUACAGGAUGACAGGCAUGGGUGUUACAGUGUUUUCCGAACCCCUUAGCAGCUUCUUGGUUACACAGCCAUUACCCUUCAUGUUCAUUCUUUGUAUCAGGAUAAAGUAGUGAACUAUACUUUGGGCUUAAUAUUUCAACUUAAAUUGUGCAGGAAAAGGUUGAGGUCCUUCCUUCUGAAGUAAUGUAGAAAUAAAUAUGUAUGCAUAUUUGUAGCAGAUGGGUAUUGCAGAUGGCAGUUUGGCAUUGCUUUUUUGUGUUUUUACGUUGGGAUUCCAUGGGCUCUUUAUUGCCAUUGUCCUUGGGGGUGAAGCUGUAACUACCGUUUCCAUACUUCAGCAGUUGCCCAACAUCUUCAACCCUAACCUUUUCAGAACUGCUGUUGCAGAGAAGCAGCGAUGUUACGUCUGGCACUGAGUCUCCGAGUGUUCAUUCCACUGCUCUCCUUUGCUGCGAUAUCAAUGCUCCACUCUUCCAUCCUCCGAGAUAAACCUUAAUGCAUAGCUAAAGAUGGAAGUCCUUUAUCAUAUCUCUUAAGUGCUACUGAAGUGUUUAUACCAGUUAUUACAUAUUUACACAGUUAUUUAUUUUGCUACUACCGUGCCCAAAUGAUCGUGACCUGUGUCAAGUCUUGGAUAGGAAGCACCAGCUCUGCUAUUGCUACAGGCAGAGCUGCAGAAAGGCGGCUGCAUACUUAGAUCUCAUUUAAUUUGUUUCCCCGGGGGGUUGUAUUAGUAGUGUUUUCAUUAGAAGUGUUUUUACAGAUGUCAGCUAUCCAGAUAUGAAGUCUCCGUGGUGGAGAAGCAGUCAGGAGUUUGGCAUUCAGAACAGAAAGGAAAAAGUCAACUUUGAGAGGCUAAUCUAUAGAAAAAUAAUUUACUGACUUUCUGAUGCAGAAUUGUGCAGUAACCCCAUGGCAGCUCUAACGUGAGUAAUUGAAGUUUUGCAAGCCGUUAUUUUCUGCUCUUAACUUCAAGAAAGGCUACAGCCUGUUGUUCCUCAUCACCGAAGGCUGAAAUAGUCCUCAUUAACAGCCUUUCUGGAAAAGUGGCAUCCAUUGCUCUGUUGUUUUUUUUUUUUUUUCCCUCCCUCCAACUGGAAUACUUGUAGUCGUUUGACAUCGUUUCAAACAAUUUAUGUUUUGCUACAGAAAGUUUUCUUCUAACAAUAUACACGGCAAGUGGAUGACUGUGCAAGCAUGGUGUUACAGAAUGCUUGGCUGAAAGGGGUUUGAUGAGGCAUAACUGCAUUGACAAAAUAAGGCAUUAACAUUUAAAUGGGCCUGCUUGUAGCAGGAAGGGUAGAGCACAGCCCUGAUGCUGUUCAAGCAGCUACCCUGCAUUGCUCGUAGCUUUGGCUGUUCCCUGAGAAGACGGUGGAAGAACUGUUUUCAGAGUUACGGGUUGCUGUCAUCAGGGCUGCAGUACAGAGAGGAGAGACUGUUUGUCAGGGAGCUCAGUGAAGGUAAAAGAAAGACUUAACACACGUGCUUGAAAUGAGGGCUGCCCAGAGGAGCGUGGGUGGGUGGACCUGGGAUGGGGGUUUGGACAGCGUGAUGGAGUGGGAAGUGUCCCUGCAUGUGACAGAGGGGUUGGAACUGGAUGGUCUUUAAGGUCUCUUCCGACCCAGGCCUUUGUAUGCCUAGAGCAGUGAAAUUAACUCAUCAGGUUUUAGGUUGAGCGGGUUGAGUGGGCGAAUUAAGCUAGUAAACGUUCUUCUAUUUGCUUAAUAGCUUAUUGUAAGUGAGGAGAUUCUGGGUUUUGUUUCUGGAGAUAGAGUAGAAUUGAAUUGUUCUCACGUUAAGAGCCACUGGUUGUACAAGACCCCAAGGCCAUUGGUGUUCUCACCUGAGAAGGCUGUUUUGGGCAAUGGGAUUAUAAUACAGUAGAUGAUGCAGAUGAGGGCUGUAGAGCUCUGUGAGCUAUUAUUUGCUCUAUAAUCGGAGUUACACAUGAAGGUUAGGAAGACCAUUUGUUCCAGGCGUUACACUGACAUGCAGCUUCUCAUCCAAAUCAGUCCAACAACUUCACUGUUUGUUGUUAAAGCUAGCACUUUAAGCCAGUCACACUCAUAGAUUUUCAGGAAUAUUAGUGCCUACUUUGUGUGAACCACUGAGCCCUCCUGCUUCACUGGGAAUCAUUCAAGCAACACUGAGGAUCUUUUAUUUGGACCGUGUAGCAUUUCUGAUGUUUGUACAGCAGUGUAACACUUCCGAUGUGUAUGCAUGUGGUGUUCUGUAUGCUCAGAUUUGUUGGUGCAUCCCGAUUUUUUUCUGGUGAUAAUCCAGUGAUUUCACUGCAGAAAUGGAGCUGAUAACCCAACAUCAACAAGCUAAACAGGAUGUCAAGAUCAAGCCCACCCCACUGCCGGAAGGAAUUGCAGCAAAAUGACAACAACGGGGGAACAGCUACGAAGUUCUGCUGCCCCAGGAAGAAGCUGUGUUGGGCGUGAGGCAGCACUGUCUGCUCCUGCUUCCUUCUCUGUUGGACAGAAUGCAGCUGGAAAUAAGUCUGGAAGGCGCUCACUGUCAUGGGGAACCUCUGCCCCUGCAUGUGUAGCAGCAAGCUCCCAACUGCUCACUGCAGCCACACGGACACACGGUGAAGAGGAAAGCAGAUUUCAACAGCAGGCAGUGAUUUGUCUACGAUGAAAGACAAAAUACGUAUUCGUUAUGUAGUACGCGUGCAUCGCUUCAUAUGCCUUUGUUGAAAGCAAUCUUGAGCAGGGAAUUCAUCCUCUUAAAUAGGUUACUCGGGCCCUUAUUCUGCUUGCUGCCCAUUUUACUGAUCAACUUCAAGACCCAAACAGCUCUUGUGCGCACACUGAGGGUCUGAGAACAGCUACUGAAUCAAACGAGCUGCAAAGCAAUUCCUAAUGGGUUUGGUUCAAGUUUUGUUUUACUUAGACUUGCAAAAUGAGUAGAGAAAACUGACGUUGGGUGCUGUUUUGUUGCAGGAAAUGAGCUCCAUUGUGAAUGAAGUAAUCAGAUGACCCCUGUGCAGUCCGAACACAUACGUAUGUGUUUUUAAACAAGCAGGUGAAGGGGGAAGGUGGUCCCUGGAAUCCACCCCAUUGCUCUGAGGAGCGGAGAGGCUCGUUCUGUCCCGCAGCACUCUCCUGUUGCACCGAGCAGGACUUGAGCAGCUCAGCAUCCAGAUCACUUAAAGUCAUUUUAAGGACGGAACCAAGUUGUCCCUGGGGGGAGGAGAGGCAGCACGACCUGCCCCAGCGUUCGUUUCCCUUACAAAGCUAAAACCAACCACCCAGAAUCCCACUCACUGCCACUUGUGCCUUUCCUUGCUGAGAUUUCUGAAACCUUGCAUUUACUCACCUCAGCCUCAGAAAUGCGUGUUUUCAAAAUGCUGCAACCUCACCUCCCUCCUCCAGCUCCAAUUUUGUUAUCACGGUAUCUAUUUUAAUGGCUAUUAAGCUGCAGUGUCCGUGCCUUAUCUUUGUCAGUUAAUGUAUCUAAUUCCACCAUCCCAGAGGGAAUAAACCUGAAGCUAAAGCCUGCAAUAUAUUAAAGAAUCAAGAACGCUUAUGCAGAACAAACAGAGGAUUUAGCUUGGAUAAACAGCAGAGAGCUCAGUGUCUUUUAUGUCCAGGGCUCAGGACUGGAAGAAGAAAAUGACUAUAAAUCAUCCCUGUGAAACAACAUAACAUAAAUGUUGUAUGUUUAUUUAAAACUUUAUACAAUCAUUUAUCUGGGCUAUAGCUCAGUUUCAAAAAGUGCUCUGCUGUAAUGAGGUACUGAGACUAGCAGUGAUCAAGAGUGAAAUGAUAUAUGGUCUUCAGCCAGAAUUUGCUUAUGGGAAGAAUGGAAAGCACUUAGGCAGACACCGAGUAUCUAUAGCCAGCAGAUCAAGCAGGAGGAUAAUUCAACAAUAACAAAAUCCUUGAUAAAUUUUUUCCUGUUUCUCUUCAAAAUAUCACAUUUCUUGUAACGUGACAUUGUUUUGAGAGCUAAGCAACCAGCAAUUUAUGCCUCAAUUUUCACACUUGAAUAAAGGCUGAUUUGUUUUCCGCGUCCGAGCUAUGACAUGUUGCUCCACCAGACUCUAACUUAAAAAAGGCUAAAUCUUCUGGGCUUGCAUUCCAGGGAGAAGCACUCCUUAAAACAUGCUGCUGCUGCCGCAGGCUUACACCCUGAGCUCCUGCAGACUCACAGCAAGUCACGGCUGACUUCUUACUUACGGGAACGCGGAGAGCCAUCGCCUACGUGUGUCCUGCCUAUGGAGAUGGCCAGAACACAAUACAGCACCUACUGCAGGAGGAGAGCUUUCCCCACAUGCCCUGUGGUCUCCCGGAGGGGUGUUUAACUGCCCCCGAAGGCGCUGGUGCUCACCUCAGCCUGGAGGGCCGCCAGGACAGGGCUCAGCCCUGGCUUUGCUUCUGCCACCUCCCGGCUGUGGGUCAAGCUGACUUCCAUGAGCACAGGCUCAUAAAUAUUUCCGUGGCUUAUGCAGCUGCGGAUGUUUUCAAGCAAAUAUAUUUAUUAUGUCAAUAACAAUAAAAAAAAGAUGACUUAUUCAAUAAUUCAUAACGGCUGCGGGGCUGCUGGAGGCGAGCAUGGCUCACUUUACUUUAGAUAACUUAUAAAUGCAGAUAAUUUCCAUGACAGACUGAAAUUACUUUCUGGUGAGUAUUUAUCUGAGAUUUAAUUUUCUUAUUAACCCAACCUGUUCUAGAAAAGUAGGCGGCCGUGCUGCUGUCUUCCUUGUUUUGCUCCCCCAGAUGCAAGCAGACGCAUCCAGAAGCCGUUGGUGGAGGCAAUGCAGCAGGAGAGGAGGAAGAAGAGGAGGCAGCGCCGUGCUCUGAGGGCACACAGCUUCCCCCUCCAUCCCGAGGUCAACCACUGGGCUCACGGCACCCAGCUAUCGACCUACAGAUAUCCCAGCAGCUCCAGCAUUUCGGGUCAUCAGGCAAGCUGCUGGGAGAGGGAGGUCAUUACCCACCCAUGUCUCCGCUGGACGAGGAAUGGUGAGCAGGGCAACUGCACCCCAAACUGCUCCGGCACUCCCAGGGCCUCUGGAAAGAGCAUCGUAAGCAAGCAACUACACUGAAUGAUCUGCUUGCUGGCUUGGCAAGAAGACAUGCGUCCCUUCUGCAGGGCGCUUGCACAACUGUCAUCACAUCACGUGCCCGUCAGGCUGCAGCCAGCAGACAGAGCAGGUGCCUUAAUUUCCUGUUCUGAUUAUUUUUCUGAGUUUCCCAAGUAGAAACCAGAAGCAGAUUGCCGCUGCCAGCUGAGCUCUUCUCACCUUGGGCUGCAGCCUGCAGGCGUGCUGCUGACUGCACUGCCGACCGACCUCAGUUGACACCUCAGUUGCAGCCAGCAGUUGAGAAGAGGCACUGCAUCUGAUCCACCUGGAUUCAGGACGGCGCUCUCAGGCCAUUACAAUAAAACUAAAUAGUUUUAAAAGACA